rnacentral:tRNA from 1 species
UCCCUGGUGACUCAGUGGUAAAGAAUCUGCCUGCUAAUGCAGAGAACACAGGUUUGAUCCCUGAUCUGGGAA